GACGAACGCUGGCGGCGCGCCUAACACAUGCAAGUCGAACGAGCGAGAGGGAGCUUGCUUUCUCGAGCGAGUGGCGAACGGGUGAGUAACGCGUGAGGAACCUGCCUCAACGAUGGGGACGACAGUUGGAAACGACUGCUAAUACCGCAUAAGCUCACGGCUCGGCAUCGAGCAGGGGGAACAUGAGCCAUCCGCUUUGAGAUGGCCUCGCUUCCGAUUAGCUAGUUGGUGAGGUAACGGCCCCUCAAGGCGACGAUCGGUAGCCGGACUGAGAGGUUGAACGGCCACAUUGAGACUGAGACACGGCCCAGACUCCUACGGGAGGCAGCAGUGGGGAAUAUUGCACAAUGGGGGAAACGCUGAUGCAGCGACGCCGCUUGGAGGAAGAAGGUCUGCGGAUUGUAAACUCCGGUUGUUGGGGAAGAUAAUGACGGUACCCAACAAGGAAGUGACGGCUAACUACGUG
rnacentral:rRNA from 1 species